rnacentral:rRNA from 1 species
UACGGGAGGCAGCAGUGGGGAAUAUUGCACAAUGGGCGCAAGCCUGAUGCAGCCAUGCCGCGUGUAUGAAGAAGGCCUUCGGGUUGUAAAGUACUUUCAGUCGUGAGGAAGGUGUUAAGGUUAAUAACCUUAGCAAUUGACGUUAGCGACAGAAGAAGCACCGGCUAACUCCGUGCCAGCAGCCGCGGUAAUACGGAGGGUGCGAGCGUUAAUCGGAAUUACUGGGCGUAAAGGGCACGCAGGCGGUUAAUUAAGUUGGAUGUGAAAUCCCCGGGCUUAACCUGGGAAUGGCAUUCAAGACUGGUUAGCUAGAGUCUUGUAGAGGGGGUAGAAUUCCAUGUGUAGCGGUGAAAUGCGUAGAGAUGUGGAGGAAUACCGGUGGCGAAGGCGGCCCCUGGACAAAGCUGACGCUCAUGCGCGAAAGCGUGGGGAGCAAACAGGGAUUAGAUACC